UUAGCACGUCUGCUUCACAGUUGUGAGGUCCUGGGUUCAAAUCUCGCCUAACCACCGCGUACGUCACAUCACCGUUCUCACGGAGUCGUUAGUUAAGUUGAUCAUCUCUCUUAUAUUUUGAAUUGAUUGUACAUUGCCCCCCAAAAUACAUCAUCUAUUUCAUGCAACUGUGCAUGCUCGCAGCCGACCCCGAGGUGCACUCUGAGGCGGCCACUGGCGAACGGCACGCAGCGGUCCCUUCUUCCAGGUCAAUUCCGGCAGGCCGUCGACGCGCUCGCCGCUGACCGAGAUGCACUCUGAGACGGCCAGACUUUUGGAUUUUAAAGGAGGUCAGCUGGGCUUUCCUUGGUGGCGCUGAACAAAGUGUUCCAGUGUGCAGCAGGAGCAGCGAUUGCAGACAUGGUGUCUGUACAGGGAGUUCCUGUCCCUGGCCCAAACCCACAGACCCUCAGCAGAGAAGGACAAGGUCAAACAUGGCCCCCGCAUUCACUUCACAACUUGUCAUCCUUUAGGAAAUGAAGGAUCCGGACCAAAGUAACGGUUUUAACAGUCUGAAUUAUUAUGCACCACAAAAACACCAAUGGCAUUUUGUUUUAUUUACGUAAUUUUUUCAUAUGAGAGGCUGUUUAAAUGCUGCUGAAAGUUGUGUUUACAACCUCAAGUCAUAAUGUUUCUGAUGCAUGCCUGUCCAAAUGUUAUUUUCCAAGUAAAAGGCAAGCGUGGCCUGGAAUUGACUGUCAACGUUUCACCGCUUCCACGACGCAACUCGAAUUUGAACACAAGUCGGAACACGUAACGAGAUCGCAGGGUAAUUAGUUGAUUCAAUGAUGUGUCGAGAUCAGGAGUGCGGGUUGAGCGUGCGCUGCCGUGUGCCACAUGGGCACCAGCCAACCUGCGGGAGAAAGAAUUCAGGCUGAGGCGUCAUAAUCAUUUACUGUACUUGUUUCAUCCAAUGAAUGCAAAACAUUUCAUCGCUUUUAUAUCGUGUAAUUCUACGCAUUUCUGACUCACAUUAUGUCUAUUAUCGUAAUCAAUAAACAACUUGAGUGAGCAAACUUACAAAUUUAGCAAAGGAUCAAAUAAAGAUUGGCCUCGCUGUAAA